rnacentral:rRNA from 1 species
UACGUAGGGUCCGAGCGUUACUCGGAAUUACUGGGCGUAAAGCGUGCGCAGGCGGUUUUGUAAGCCAGAUGUGAAAGCCCCGGGCUUAACCUGGGAAUGGCAUUUGGGACUGCAAGGCUGGAGGACGGCAGAGGGAGGUGGAAUUCCACGUGUAGCAGUGAAAUGCGUAGAGAUGUGGAGGAACACCGAUGGCGAAGGCAGCCUCCUGGGCUAGUACUGACGCUCAUGCACGAAAGCGUGGGGAGCAAACAGG